rnacentral:rRNA from 1 species
GAUGAACGCUAGCUACAGGCUUAACACAUGCAAGUCGAGGGGAAACGACAUCGAAAGCUUGCUUUUGAUGGGCGUCGACCGGCGCACGGGUGAGUAACGCGUAUCCAACCUGCCCAUCACUUGGGAAUAACCUUGCGAAAGUAAGACUAAUACCCAAUGAUAUCCCACGAAGGCAUCGGAAUGGGAUUAAAGAUUUAUCGGUGAUGGAUGGGGAUGCGUCUGAUUAGCUUGUUGGCGGGGUAACGGCCCACCAAGGCAACGAUCAGUAGGGGUUCUGAGAGGAAGGUCCCCCACAUUGGAACUGAGACACGGUCCACACUCCUACGGGCGGCAGCAGUGAGGAAUAUUGGUCAAUGGGCGAGAGCCUGAACCAGCCAAGUAGCGUGCAGGAAGACGGCCCUAUGGGUUGUAAACUGCUUUUAUAAGGGAAUAAAGUGGGUCACGUGUGACUUUUUGCAUGUACCUGAUGAAUAAGGACCGGCUAAUUCCGUG